rnacentral:rRNA from 1 species
AACGCUGGCGGCAGGCUUAACACAUGCAAGUCGAACGCCCUCUUCGGAGGGAGUGGCAGACGGGUGAGUAACGCGUGGGAACCUACCCAGUAGUACGGAAUAACUCAGGGAAACUUGUGCUAAUACCGUAUACGCCCUACGGGGGAAAGAUUUAUCGCUAUUGGAUGGGCCCGCGUUGGAUUAGUUUGUUGGUGAGGUAACGGCUCACCAAGGCUACGAUCCAUAGCUGGUCUGAGAGGAUGAUCAGCCACACUGGGACUGAGACACGGCCCAGACUCCUACGGGAGGCAGCAGUGGGGAAUAUUGGACAAUGGGGGAAACCCUGAUCCAGCCAUGCCGCGUGAGUGAAGAAGGCCCUAGGGUUGUAAAGCUCUUUCGCUAGGGAAGAUAAUGACGGUACCUAGUAAAGAAGCCCCGGCUAACUUCGUGCCAGCAGCCGCGGUAAU